ACUCCUACGGGAGGCAGCAGUGGGGAAUCUUGCGCAAUGGGCGAAAGCCUGACGCAGCAACGCCGCGUGGGGGAUGAAGGCUUUCGGGUUGUAAACCCCUUUCAGCAGGGACGAUUGUGACGGUACCUGCAGAAGAAGCCCCGGCCAACUACGUGCCAGCAGCCGCGGUAAUACGUAGGGGGCAAGCGUUGUCCGGAUUUAUUGGGCGUAAAGAGCUCGUAGGCGGCUCACUAAGUCGGAUGUGAAAACUCCAGGCUCAACCUGGAGACGCCAUUCGAUACUGGUGUGGCUUGAGUUCGGUAGGGGAGCACGGAAUUCCUGGUGUAGCGGUGAAAUGCGCAGAUAUCAGGAGGAACACCGGUGGCGAAGGCGGUGCUCUGGGCCGAAACUGACGCUGAGGAGCGAAAGCGUGGGUAGCAAACAGGAUUAGAUACCCUGGUAGUCCACGCCGUAAACGCUGGGCACUAGGUGUGGGACCCUAUCGACGGGA
rnacentral:rRNA from 1 species